AAGACUUUAAGUUAAAUUCUUAAACUAUUAAUUUUCAAAAUUAAAUAUAAAAUUAUUUUUUAAGUCUUA
rnacentral:tRNA from 1 species